rfam:Ovis aries breed Texel chromosome 3, whole genome shotgun sequence.
UCCCUGUUUGUCCAGUGGUUAGGGCUCAGCGCUUUUACUGCUGGGGCCCAGGCUCAAUCCCUGAUCAGGGAA